rnacentral:rRNA from 1 species
CCUACGGGAGGCAGCAGUGAGGAAUAUUGGUCAAUGGCCGAGAGGCUGAGCCAGCCAAGUCGCGUGAGGGAAGACGGCCCUACGGGUUGUAAACCUCUUUUGUCGGGGAGCAAAGCGAGUCACGUGUGACUCAUUGAGAGUACCCGAAGAAAAAGCAUCGGCUAACUCCGUGCCAGCAGCCGCGGUAAUACGGAGGAUGCGAGCGUUAUCCGGAUUUAUUGGGUUUAAAGGGUGCGUAGGCGGAGUGUCAAGUCAGCGGUAAAAUUUCGGGGCUCAACCCCGUCGUGCCGUUGAAACUGACGCCC